UUAUCAUAUCCUGUGUUUGAG
rnacentral:miRNA from 1 species